CCCACCAAGGAGCACCCAUCAGGAGCAGCGUGCCACAACAACAACCAUACAGUCUGUGGAGCCCUACAAGGCCUAUCAGACACACAGGGGCAUCUCUGCUCAGGACAGAACCAGAAAGGAGAAAAGAGCAUCAACAUCAAAAUUCCCAAGAAAACUAGGCAGAAUAUUUAUUCUCCUUGUAAGAUUUGUCAUGUCUGCCAUUUAUUUUUGACACCAGUCUACUGCUGUUGUGGGAUGACAAGCCCAUGGGUGUGAGUGGUGUAAGAGAGUGAGGCCUUAGACUGUGCAAACACAAUAACAGUUGUGACAUGGAUCCACCUCCAGUGGCUGCGGGGUCCUGCAGGGUCAGAGCUGGAAGACCUUCUGACAUCGAUAUCCUGAAGUUACUCGGGCACCUGCUAGCCUACUGCCUACUUCCACAAGUCUCAGUUAGAGGAAGAAAGAACCACAAACCACAGGAAGAAAACACAUACACUGGAAAGCAAUAAUUGUCCAUUUUUUGGCUUUUGCAAAGGAAGUGGAUGCAGCUGAAAGCCAUUGGUUCCACUUUGUACAGGGAAGGCAGAGCAGAACAGUGUGAGAUGAAAUGUGGGAGCUCGUCCAGAAUGAUGCAAUGAAGAAAGCGUCUUCAGCUGCAAAUGUGGAAGUAGCCAAGAUGCACAAACCACCUCUCUCCUUCAAGCUAGAAUGAAAAUGGAACUGAAAAUAUCAUUUCUGGGAGGCAUGAGCAAUAGUCUCAGGACCUGUUGUAAAAAAGGAAGUUGUUUAAAUAUACAAAGUUUGCAUUAGGAGCUUUUGGAAGGCAGAUGAGCAGAAAUUACUUGCUGAUCAUGCCAUGCAUUUUUAGAGGUUCUCCUCAUUCAUCCCUGUUACUUAUGUGCUCACCUAUUCUUUCACUAGGAAGAGCUGCUUAGCCCACAGAGAUCCACAUUUCACCAUGCAUGAAUUGUAAAACCACUAUAGGAAGAGUGUUUAGUGAAGAGUUAAUGGCUUCCUUAGAAGGAUAAUACAGUUAACAGUGGAGAGGAUGUACAGCUAAAUAUGGCCCUUAUAAAACUUAGCAGAUUCCAUUAAAAAACAGACGUGCAGGAAGUGUCUAGUUCCUAUUAGAACUGAUUGUACACAGUUGCAUGGGAAGAAAUAAAUUUAGUGUACAGAAUUUUACAUCACAUCCUUUGAAAGCAGUGAAUUCUCUGGGGUCCGCAACUCUCUACAUCUGGUCCACAUGCACAUAUGUACACACACAAACAAUUAACUGGUGUGCAAGGACUUUAAAGGAAAAUACAUAUCUAAAAGUCAGCGCCUACACAUGCUGAAGUGAAUGGCAAUGUUGUG